CUGAGUUACCGCUCAUCAACCCUUUGUGAACAUACCUUAACUGUUACUUCGGCGGGUAGGCGUCCCCUAAAAAGGACGUCUCCCGGCCCCCUCCCGUCCGCGGGUGGGGCGCCCGCCGGAGGAUAACCAAACUCUGAUUUAACGACGUUUCUUCUGAGUGACACAAGCAAAUAAUCA
rnacentral:misc_RNA from 1 species